UUCCGGUUGAUCCUGCCGGAGGUCACUGCUAUCGGGGUUCGAUUAAGCCAUGCGAGUCGAGAGGGUUCGGCCCUCGGCGUACUGCUCAGUAACACGUGGAUAACCUGCCCUAGGGGAGGGGAUAACCCCGGGAAACUGGGGAUAAUACCCUAUAGGUUACAGAUGCUGGAAUGCCCUGUAACCAAAAGCUCCGGCGCCCUAGGAUGGAUCUGCGGCCGAUUAGGUUGUUGUUGGGGUAACGGCCCAACAAGCCCGUAAUCGGUACGGGUUGUGGGAGCAAGAGCCCGGAGUUGGAUUCUGAGACACGAAUCCAGGCCCUACGGGGCGCAGCAGGCGCGAAACCUUUACAAUGCGGGCAACCGUGAUAAGGGAACCUCGAGUGCCUGUAAACGCAGGCUGUUCAGGUGUUUAAAACGCACCUGGAGAAAGGGCCGGGCAAGACCGGUGCCAGCCGCCGCGGUAAUACCGGCGGCUCGAGUGGUGGCCGCUUUUAUUGGGAUUAAAGCGUUCGUAGCUGGGUUGUUAAGUCUCUUGGGAAAUCUGGCGGCUUAACCGUCAGGCGUCUAAGGGAUACUGGCAAUCUUGGAACCGGGAGAGGUGAGGGGUACUUCGGGGGUAGGGGUGAAAUCCUGUAAUCCUCGAGGGACCACCUGUGGCGAAGGCGCCUCACCAGAACGGCUUCGACAGUGAGGGACGAAAGCUGGGGGAGCAAACCGGAUUAGAUACCCGGGUAGUCCCAGCCGUAAACGAUGCGCGUUAGGUGUAUCGGUGACCACGAGUUACCGAGGUGCCGAAGGGAAACCGUGAAACGCGCCGCCUGGGAAGUACGGUCGCAAGGCUGAAACUUAAAGGAAUUGGCGGUGGAGCACCACAACGGGUGGAGCCUGCGGUUUAAUUGGAUUCAACGCCGGGAAUCACUAGUGCGGGCCGCCUGCACGUCGACCAUAUGGGAGAGCUCCCAACGCGUUGGAUGCAUAGCUUGAGUAUUCUAUAGUGUCACCUAAAUAGCUUGGCGUAAUCAUGGUCAUAGCUGAUUCCCUGUGUGAAAUUGUUAUCCGCCUCACAGUCCACCACAACAUACGAGCCGGGAAGCAUAAAGUGUAAAGCCCUGGGGGUGCCUAUGAACUGAGCUAACUCCACAUAUUGCGCUGCGCCUCACUGACCGCUUCCAGGUUCGGAAACUGUCAUUCCAGCCUUCCAAUAAUGGAAUUGGGGC
rnacentral:rRNA from 1 species